GAGCAGUUUGCCAAACAGCGAAUGCGAAUUCCAGAGUUCGACAUGGAACAAUGACAUCAUCGUCCACCGAGAAUAUAGCAUCAGUUCUAAGAUCCGUAAUAUAAAAAAUCUCGUAGCUUGUAAGAAGGUGGAUCGUUUUCACUCCAAACGACGUGAAUCGCAUCGGUCCCUUGACAGGAUGCAUAGUGCGCAACAGACUGUUUAAGUAAUGUAUUUCUCUUCCAAGUAUUGAUAACAACAGUGUACCCACCCCUGGAAAAAAAAAAACCUAGCUUAGUUUCUCUCUUAGUAACACACUGUUUCAAUUAAACCGAAAAUUGCAUGACAUUUGCCAAAUGAAGUGAAAUUUCAAUAAAUAAAUAUUUAACUUAAUAGAAAUUCCACACAACCACCAUCAUCAGAACAAAUAAAUUAAUCCAAAACCCUAAAAUAAUGAGAAAAAAAAAAUUCAGAUCAAUACCAAGUUAAACCUAACCAAUCAACAUUUAACGGUGUUUGCACCGUGACUCGUCGGAACGCCGAGAAAUCGGUGGGAUGGGCGAGACGGAGCCACGGAACGGCCCCGACGCGGCCGGAACGGCACCGGAACGGUGCCGGAACAGGAAAAAAGAAUUUGAAAAAAAAAACAAAUUUAACUAAAAAAAAUAAGGAAAAAAAACAUAAAAGAAAAAAAAUAAUAUGAUGGUGGUGGGGUUAGAUAAUGAAGAUUCUCCUGAAUCACAAAUCUUUGGCUUCACUCUUCAAUUAUAUCUUACACAAUUCUAGCUCGGUAUUCUACUUGGUAUUAAUAUUGCUUAUAUUUUCAUAAUAUUCUUUGUAAUAUUUAUUUUUUAAAUUAUAAUAAUAUUUUUCAUAUUAUUGAAUUGUAAUUGUGUUAUUAAAAACAUAUUUGAAUUAUAUUAUAUUUUUUUAACAAUUUAAUUAAAAUGUGUCCGUUCCGCCGCGAUGCAGCCGCGACGUUGCAAUGGAACUGGAACAACAGUGUCCGCGACAAUGCACUGUUCCGCUCCGGCGAACCAUGGGUAAAUGAGGGUUCCAUCCCAUAAAUGGCUAAUCUUAUUAUAACGGCGUUAGCCACGUAAUCACAACGGGGAUUCUAACUCUGUGGACCCCACCAUCUUCUGCUGCCUCACCAACCUCUUCGGUUGAUGUGGCUUCCCAUAAGGACUCGCAUGCACACAAAGGGAAGGGCAAAAUUGUUGACGACGAUGACUCCGAUACACCGCCACUUUCGGCCCCGCUUCGCCGCUCUCGCCGCCGUGCUCCUCCGCCGCCCACUACUGGUGCCUCUACCUCUCGUGCUCGGGCUGCCGCUGUUGACUCGGAUCUCACUCUGCCCAUCUCUGUCGCUGAUGCUUUCAGUCAUCGUUUCUUUUUACCCUCGCACCAAUCUCGGUGGUAUUUGGUAAGUCAACGCUCUCUUGCUUCUGAACGUCCCUUGGGGCCCGCCUUUGCUCGACUAUUUUACCGCCCUUGCUCAGAAAGGGGGAGUUGGCAACGAAGCAUCUCAUACAGGGGGAGUUGCUCAUACAGGGGGAGUUACUGCUGGAACUGGUGUUCCAACUGUUCCAACAGUUGAUGAUGCAGUUGAUGAUGCAGCAACUGAGGAUAAUACAGAUGAUGAAGGGGAGUUGUUCGUUGAUGCUGAAGACAUUCUAGACUAAUGUUUUUUUUAUUAUUUUAUUUGUUUUCUGAACAAUGGCUUGUAAUAGUCUGAUAGGCUUAACCUUGUUCUCCUUUCGACUGUUGCUUUGUUUUGAACUGUUCUAACAGUUACUCUAUUAUGCAGCGUAAUUUUUUUUUUUUUGUCAGGUACUUGAUUAAGGGGGAGGACUUGAUUAUAAUAAAUAGAUGACAAAGGGGGAGAUUGUUAGAAUGCGGGAGGAUUCUAAUUUCGGUUUUUCAACACGAGUGUGAAAAACGUGUUUACAGCUAGGGAAGUUUCCUUAGUUCUUUUAACUCUUAUUUUGUCAUUAAUUUAUUUAAUUGCCUAAGUGUUUUGUUAACUAGGAAUUUUCUUUUGAAAAGAAUUUACUUUGUUACACAACUCCUAUUUUCCUUACGUGAUAUAAAAUAUAACCUAAUGGGCUCCACUUUUUGUAGGGCUCUACUAAUUCACCUAAGGAAGUAUAAGAAGGGGAGCAUCAACGUUGUUUUAAGUGGUCCCUUUUAUUUUGAGAGAAAAAAUCCUUUCUGCUCUUACGUUGCUGCCCCAGACCUUUGAUCUUAAUCCGAGAAGAAAAUACAGAGAAAGGGUUUGCUUCUUUCACCGAAAAGAAGAUCGGUUCUUCGGGAGGAGAAUUCAGAAGAUCAUGGGAGGAGGUCGAUCCGCCGACUGAGGGACUCAGCGUUGAAGGAAUUUCAACCGUGCGGAAAGGGACGUGCUGCAAAGUGAAGAUUGACAAUUCAGCGUAGGAUACAAGAACGACGUCGACAAAGAGGGAGUCUUUGCAUUUUCGAUUAAGUCCUAUUACUGUAUUCGUAAAACUAAAAAUUAGUGAAUUUCAUUUGCAGGUCCCCGUGGAUGUAUGGUACAAUUGUAUCCGAACCACUUUAAAAUUUGUGUCUUUUUAUUACUGUUCCAUUAACUGUUGCAACUCUUCGUAAAACAGUAGAACAGUAGCUAAAACUGAAUCUGGAAUUUAUCGGACACAAAUUUAUAAUUAAUUUGCACGAAAUAAUUCUAACAGAGACUAAAUUCAUUCAACCAAUGCAUACGAGGAACAAAUCCGACCAUCGUAAGAUCGAGGAGCAGUUUGCCAAACAGCGAAUGCGAAUUCCAGAGUUCGACAUGGAACAAUGACAUCAUCGUCCACCGAGAAUAUAGCAUCAGUUCUAAGAUCCGUAAUAUAAAAAAUCUCGUAGCUUGUAAGAAGGUGGAUCGUUUUCACUCCAAACGACGUGAAUCGCAUCGGUCCCUUGACAGGAUGCAUAGUGCGCAACAGACUGUUUAAGUAAUGUAUUUCUCUUCCAAGUAUUGAU
rnacentral:lncRNA from 1 species